GGGUGCGAUCAUACCAGCACUAAUGCACCGGUUCCCAUCAGUAAUCCGCGGUUAAGCGUGCUUAAGUGAGAGUAGUACUAGGAAGGGUGACCUCCUGGGAAGUCCUCGUGUUGCACCCC
rfam:Corchorus olitorius cultivar O-4 contig16633, whole genome shotgun sequence.